rnacentral:rRNA from 1 species
AUUGAACGCUGGCGACAUGCCUUACACAUGCAAGUCGAACGGCAGCACGGGUGCUUGCACCUGGUGGCGAGUGGCGAACGGGUGAGUAAUACAUCGGAACAUGUCCUGUAGUGGGGGAUAGCCCGGCGAAAGCCGGAUUAAUACCGCAUACGAUCUACGGAUGAAAGCGGGGGACCUUCGGGCCUCGCGCUAUAGGGUUGGCCGAUGGCUGAUUAGCUAGUUGGUGGGGUAAAGGCCUACCAAGGCGACGAUCAGUAGCUGGUCUGAGAGGACGACCAGUCACACUGGGACUGAGACACGGUCCAGACUCCUACGGGAGGCAGCAGUGGGGAAUUUUGGACAAUGGGCGAAAGCCUGAUCCAGCAAUGCCGCGUGUGUGAAGAAGGCCUUCGGGUUGUAAAGCACUUUUGUCCGGAAAGAAAUCCUUGGCCCUAAUACGGUCGGGGGAUGACGGUACCGGAAGAAUAAGCACCGGCUAACUACGUG